UGUUAAAAUUUUUAUCUAUUUGUACUGUUAAUACCUAGCGUGGUUGACGGAAUAAUCGGAUCUCAUGCUGACAUACAGGGAUCAGUUUUUAAUAGUAGAAAUAGAUGAAACUUUUAACA
rfam:Gossypium hirsutum cultivar TM-1 unplaced genomic scaffold scaffold190.1, whole genome shotgun sequence